GCUAGGGUAUUUCUUGUUGUCUUUUGUAGCAGUCGAUGCAUUAUUUUUUUUUUUUGUCACAGUUGAAUGAUGUGUCUAAUUUUCAUUUACAAAUUUGUUCUUCUAUUAUUCCUUCUACGGCUUCGAAUGGUGAUCAUCUUUCCGCCCCGUCCCGCAGUUAACAGUAACAAAAAUCUCUACAUAUACUAUAUAUCUAUACAUUUUUAUAAAUUAAAACCGCACCGCUUGUCCCGCACCGCUCAAACCGCAGUCACCAUUCGCAGCUGAUACACGUAAGUAUUUACACACUG
rnacentral:lncRNA from 1 species